GACGAACGCUGGCGGCGUGCUUAACACAUGCAAGUCGGACGGUCUGUAUAUUGAAAGCUUGCUGGAUAUGUACGGAUAGUGGCGGACGGGUGAGUAACGCGUGAAUACCUGGCCAUCGGAGGGGGACAACGGCUGGAAACGGUCGCUAAUACCGCGUAAGCCGUAAGGUGAAAGGCCACGGGAGUGGCUGCCGAUGGAUGGGUUCGCGUCCUAUCAGCUGGUUGGUGGGGUAAGGGCCUACCAAGGCUAAGACGGGUAGCCGGUCUGAGAGGGUG
rnacentral:rRNA from 1 species